rnacentral:rRNA from 1 species
GACGAACGCUGGCGGCGUGCUUAACACAUGCAAGUCGAGCGGAAAGGCCCUGCUUUUGUGGGGUGCUCGAGUGGCGAACGGGUGAGUAACACGUGAGUAACCUGCCCUUGACUUUGGGAUAACUUCAGGAAACUGGGGCUAAUACCGGAUAGGAGCUCCUGCUGCAUGGUGGGGGUUGGAAAGUUUCGGCGGUUGGGGAUGGACUCGCGGCUUAUCAGCUUGUUGGUGGGGUAGUGGCUUACCAAGGCUUUGACGGGUAGCCGGCCUGAGAGGGUGACCGGCAACAUUGGGACUGAGAUACGGCCCAGACUCCUACGGGAGGCAGCAGUGGGGAAUAUUGCACAAUGGGCGGAAGCCUGAUGCAGCAACGCCGCGUGCGGGAUGACGGCCUUCGGGUUGUAAACCGCUUUCGCCUGUGACGAAGCGUGAGUGACGGUAAUGGGUAAAGAAGCACCGGCUAACUACGUG